rnacentral:tRNA from 1 species
UGGGGCGUCGUAUAAUGGCUAUUACGUCCGGCUCUGACCCGGAAAAUUGGGGUUCAAAUCCCUGCGCCCCAGCCA